GAUCUGGAGGUCUAGUGGUUAGAGCACCCACCUCGGAUGCUGGAGGUCGCAGGUUUGAUCCCUGGCCGAAUCA